rnacentral:misc_RNA from 1 species
AAUGGCUGAUAAUGGUCGUGGAGCUUAUCCUGUACAUUCGGAAGUUGGUUCUGUUGGUGUUCCUACGGAUGAUUCCAGGCCUAUGGGACAGUUAAGCUUAUCAGUUCUGGAGAAUGGUAAAGCGGUGCAUGAUUUCAUGGAAAGGGAGAAGAGGACACCGAAAGCAAACCAGUUUUAUAGAAAUUCUGAAUUCUUGCUUGCAAAAGAUAGGAUUCCUCCAGCUGAGAGCAAUAAGAAGUCCAAAUUAAAUGGGAAAAAGCGUAGUAGACGAAAAUUUAAUCA